rnacentral:rRNA from 1 species
UAGUCUCGCACAGAUGCAUAUCAAUAAGCGGAGGAAAAGAAACUAACAAGGAUUCCCUUAGUAACGGCGAGUGAAGCGGGAAGAGCUCAAAUUUGAAAUCUUGCAAGGUUUACCUUUCACGAAUUGUAGUUUAAAGAAGUGUUUUCUGUUACGAUUUGGUAAUAAGUUCUUUGGAAUAGGACAUCAUAGAGGGUGAGAAUCCCGUAUGAUUGACCGAUUAUUGUCAGCUUUGUGAUACACUUUCAAAGAGUCGGGAUUGUUUGGGAAUGCAGUCCAAAAUGGGUGGUAAAUUUCUUCUAAGGCUAAAUAUUGGCGAGAGACCGAUAGCGAACAAGUACCGUGAGGGAAAGAUGAAAAGAACUUUGAAAAGAGAGUUAAAUAGUACGUGAAAUUGUCAAAAGGGAAGCGUUUAACACCAGUGUUGUUUUCUGAAAAUCAACCUCUGUUAGCUUUAUGCAUGUUUGUUUAGACCUAAUCAGCUAUCUUGCAUGUUCUAUUGUUUGCAGUGGUGCACUUUUCAGUUUACAGGUCAACAUCAGUUUUUUUUACCGUAAAAAAGUUAAAGAAAGGUAGCUCAUGGCUCCGGUCGUGAGUGUUAUAGUCUUUUUCCUAUGCGGUAGGAGAGACUGAGGUCUGCAGUGUAGGCUAUUGGCUAGAUACUCAGGUGCUAUGUGAUACCAUUUCAUAAACAACUUGUUGAUUAUGUUUUGUCUAUUGCAUACUCGCUUGUACUAUCAUACCUACGCUUAGGAUGUUGAAGAUGUAGCACAUCAU